rnacentral:rRNA from 1 species
AUUGAACGCUGGCGGCAUGCCUUACACAUGCAAGUCGAACGGCAGCACGGGUGCUUGCACCUGGUGGCGAGUGGCGAACGGGUGAGUAAUACAUCGGAACGUACCUUAUCGUGGGGGAUAACGCAGCGAAAGCUGUGCUAAUACCGCGUACGCCCUGAGGGGGAAAGCGGGGGAUCGCAAGACCUCGCGCGAUUAGAGCGGCCGAUGCCUGAUUAGCUAGUUGGUGGGGUAAAAGCCCACCAAGGCGACGAUCAGUAGCUGGUCUGAGAGGACGAUGAGCCACACUGGGACUGAGACACGGCCCAGACUCCUACGGGAGGCAGCAGUGGGGAAUUUUGGACAAUGGGGGCAACCCUGAUCCAGCAAUGCCGCGUGAGUGAAGAAGGCCUUCGGGUUGUAAAGCUCUUUUGUCAGGGAAGAAACACCGGCUCUAACACAGUCCGGGAAUGACGGUACCUGAAGAAUAAGCACCGGCUAACUACGUGCCAGCAGCCGCAGUAA